rnacentral:siRNA from 1 species
UCAGAGUGCUUGCGGUUAAACAAU